ensembl:ncRNA B0350.82 ncRNA
CACAAUUUGAAGAAGUGCACACUUGGGCACCAGAAGUGUCCCAAGAGACUUCUUAUAAGACGAGAAGGGCCGUGUCUUUCCUCCCUUUUUCUUACAUAAAUUGCAUUAUACAAAAUAGACAGCUGAGAACUGGUGU